GACGAACCUGACGAACGUUAUUCGGAAUUACUGGGCUUAAAGGGUGCGUAGGCGGCGCGGAAAGUUGGGUGUGAAAUCCCUUGGCUUAACCGAGGAAUUGCGUCCAAAACUACCGUGCUUGAGGGAGAUAGAGGUGAGCGGAACUUAGGGUGGAGCGGUGAAAUGCGUUGAUAUCCUAAGGAACACCGGUGGCGAAAGCGGCUCACUGGAUCUCUUCUGACGCUGAGGCACGAAAGCUAGGGGAGCGAACGGG
rnacentral:rRNA from 1 species